GCGUGGAGUUGGAAUUGCUAGUAAUCGCGGAUCAGCAUGCCGCGGUGAAUACGUUCCCGGGCCUUGUACACACCGCCCGUCACACCAUGGAAGUCGGUAAUGCCCGAAGUCAGUAGCCUAACCGCAAGGAGGGCGCUGCCGAAGGCAGGAUUGAUGACUGGGGUGAAGUCGUAACAAGGUACC
rnacentral:rRNA from 1 species